ensembl:lncRNA
ACUUUAUACCAGGAAACACUAGCAGAAUUUGCUUAAUUAUUCUUCUCUGAAAUGAGUGUUUUGCUGGCGACUUCUGUCAUAAAAGGGGACCGUGUAUCAGUUCUCCAGAGAACUCAUUCCAGUCACAGAGGUUUGUUCUGAGACCUCUUGGGAGCUGCAGCCUGGCCGCUUGAGUUGGAGCUUCCUGAAUUCAUCCAUCGCUUUUCAUGACGCUGGACCCAGCUCCUUUGGAGAUCACAGUGGACUAUGAGAGCCAAAUGUUUCUAACAGGCCCCAUUCCCGCUUGCUGCUUCCUGAAGUGCUGUCUCCCAGUCUUUGCAGACAGCACUUUGACCUACUCCAUGCGACCGUCAUUUCCGUGCGCUCAGGGCACCCCGCGCGCCCUGAGCCACUUUCCCCUACGGAGUGAGCCCCCAAAUGGGGACGUUCAGAGAC